AAUGAUAUUGCUGAUUUGGAUGGUAGUUGCAUAUUUAUUUUUUUUUAAAGAAACCGUCAAACUGUUUUCCAGAGUGGAUGUACUAUUUUACAUUCUCGUCAGCAAU
rnacentral:pre_miRNA from 1 species